rnacentral:lncRNA from 10 species
AAAAAGGGUCUGUUACCAAGCUCAGCUUUGGAGAUGGGGCAAAAGAUACAACAGAGGAACAACCAUUUACUGACAUGGAGGGCACCAACGUGGUUUUUGAUGAUAUGAGCUAAGCUGCAAGAUGAUGAAACUGAGGAUGAGAAAAGACAAGGACACAGGACCACAGAGACAGUGGGAGAAGUAGGAGCAGAUCACGGCUUCCUUAUAAUUGCGCGAUUAUCUCCGCACCAGAGCACAUUAUAUCUGGCCAAAUUGACUUUUCACAAGAUGACAAAAGUCACUUAACAAGCCAGGAGCUAUGUGCUGCUUGACCCACCACUCUAGCCAUUGCAUGGAAAGCCUCUUCAUGAUAUAAGAAAAUGAAAUCAAACCAUAAGGUGAAGCAGGACAAGAAGCAGGAAGAUCUACCGGACAGAUGGAGAAGAGUGAUGUAAAAGAGGAUGCAUGGAAAGAGGCCAUUUUGGAGUCAGAUGGAUCUGAUUUUGAAUUCCAACUUUAUUACCUACCAACUCUGUGAACUGUAAGCAAGUUUCCUCAUUUGUAAAUGGGGGUAAAUUACCCUUCUCAGCAUGAUUGUGCAUCUUAAAUGGAAAAAACAGCAUGAAAGUAUUUAUCCCAGUACCUCAUACAUUAAAGAUACUUAGAUAAAGUCUCUUCACUUCUUCUUUCUUUAUCUUCCCUUUGACACAAGUCUACCUAGGCUGAUUAUGUUGAACCUUUGAGAGAUGAUCAGAGAAAAAUGGAGCGACAGAGAGAGAGAGAGAGAGGCAGAGGAAGGCAGUGGGCAAAGACAGAAGUGAGUCAGAGGAAAAUCUGAUGGUGGUUAUAGAGUAAUGAAAUAGCUGUUAUUGACCACAGUCAAAACACAGCCUAGUCUUUAAGCCUUGCAUUAGGCAUUCUUUUUCCUCUGCCCAAUCCACACGUGUAACACAGCCAUAAAUCACUGUCCUUCAUAAGCAACAGACAGUAAGUGCCAUGAGCAGUAGUGACAAUAUUUAUCACCAGGUAAGCAGUUCCAUAUAGGGGUUGCUUGGGCCAAGCUCCUAACCAUUUGGAAGAACUGCAACCACUAUGCCUCAUGCCUUCUGUCCUAGGCUUUUUUGGAAUAAGGGGUGUGAAAACAAGGCUGGCCACGGAAUGUAAAGCAACUGGCUUCUAGUUCACCUUUUAUGUGGUCACAAUGGAGACAGGGACUCAAUGAGAUUGUCACUUGAUGUCCCUUCCAGUGUUUCAUAGAUCUGGGGCUCUGGGGCUCAUUGGAAGUACAUUUUAUCUCAUUUAAGCAGUUAGUGAUACAUUUGAUCAACCAUUCUGCUUCUAAGGAGAUUUUACUUGAUCUCAUCUUUGGUGAUGCUAAGACAAAUUAUUUUUUUGUAAUGGGUUGAGCUACAAAUUUGAGGUGGAAAUAAGAUAUUUUUAAUUGGUUUAAUGAUUUACACUAGUUCCCAGUUGCCUUAAUAACAUGAAUUCUAACUUUUGAGACUUCUCUCUUCUUCUGAUUUGUUCAAAACCUACAAGGCUCAAGUGUCCUAAAAAGAAAAGUUAGUCCAAGGUAUAAUAUAGGUCUGAAACUCUUCCAAGGGGUUAUUUGUUACUAACUUCAUCCUUAGAGGGCUGUGAGCAUUUUUCUUUGAAAUCCUAGAAGCAAUCUCUCUGUCUUUCUUUCUCAUCUACCCUAUUUUUCUCCCUUUUUUAAAUCUUUCCUUAAAAAUGCUAUGUUAAAAUUUCCCAACCUUCACCAAACUUGAAGCUAGGCAGAGGCAAGGAAAUACCAUAGGUUGACAAAUUAGAUAAGCUAAACUCUUAUUCUUAGGGAGAAAGUCCUUUAUCUCCGAUGUAUCUUUCUUUGAGUUUCUCUUUGAACUUGGCUUUUCUCAUCACAGAGGUGAUGCACUGGUAUAGGGAAAAGUAGUCAACCACGUGGCCCAGUUUAGUUCACUAUGUAAUCAUUCUGGA